rnacentral:rRNA from 1 species
GAUGAACGCUAGCUGCAGGCUUAACACAUGCAAGUCGAGGGACCGGCGCACGGGUGAGUAACGCGUAUCCAACCUACCCAUAACGAAGGGAUAACCCAGCGAAAGUUGGACUAAUACCUUAUGGUUAUGGAUGGGGAUGCGUGUGAUUAGCUUGUUGGCAGGGUAACGGCCCACCAAGGCAACGAUCAGUAGGGGUUCUGAGAGGAAGGUCCCCCACAUUGGAACUGGGACACGGUCCAAACUGCUACGGGCGGCGGCGGUGCGGAAGAUAGGGCAAUGAAGCCAAGUCUGAACCAGCCAAGUAGCGUGCAGGAUGACGGCCUAUGUGGUGUAGACUGCUUUGAUAUGGGGAUAGGUACCAUAUGAAUAAGGACCGGCUAAUUCCGUGCCAGCAGCCGCGGUAAUAC